UACGUAGGCAGCAAGCGUUGUUCGGAAUUACUGGGCGUAAAGAGUGUGUAGGCGGUGCUCUAAGUUCAGUGUGAAAUCUCCUGGCUUAACUGGGAGGGUGCGCCGGAAACUGGAAUGCUCGAGCGUGGGAGAGGAAAGCGGAAUUCCUGGUGUAGCGGUGAAAUGCGUAGAUAUCAGGAGGAACACCUGCGGUGUAGACGGCUUUCUGGACCAUUGCUGACGCUGAGACACGAAGGCGUGGGUAGCAAACAGG
rnacentral:rRNA from 1 species